rnacentral:lncRNA from 1 species
UGGAUUUUGAAAUACUAGAAAACAAGGUCUAGAUCUUUGAUGAAAUGUGCAAAUUUUUAUAGUAGUAGGUAAUUCAUGUGUAAGAAUUUUCAUUAUAAUAUAGAAAAUGCCAUGUUUGAUCAUAUUUAUAAUUGUAUUUUACAAAAAUAAGAAUUCUUUUGUUUGAUUCAUUUUUUUCCAACUUUGUCAAAUAAGGGGAGGCAACUCAAAUGCAAGAGCAGAUAAUCCAGAUAGUGUUACUUUUACAAUAGAAUGUGUUAGGAAUUUACCCAUUUUUACAUGUAGCAAGAAAACGAGUCCGGUGACCCCAUUUUUUCUUUUUCUUAUCUGAAAGCAUAAUAUUGAAGCUAUCUUCUCAUAUUUUACCUCAAA